AAACAUCACUUCCUCUGGAAAAAUGCCUCAAGUUCCCCAAAUCUGAGGUAUAAUUCCUCCUGUAGUGUCUGUCAGGGCUGUGGUCACCUUAACCUCGCUGCCAUCACCUUAUCCUCGCUGCCGUACCCAAAGGCUGGAAAGCUUGACUCCGUCAGAAAUUAGUUCAGAGGACGGCAAUGGUGACCAGAUGGGACCCGAAGACAGAUGCCGAUACCAAUGACAGGGCCUAUUCCGGGACAUCAAGAGGGCUUGCCAUACCUCAGAAAGGUGCAGCUAAGAAUGAGGAGAUGCCUAGAAAACCAGCCAGGCAGGGGAGCUUAUUUCUGAGUGGACUCUGAGAACAGUACCUUCGGGAAGAGAUGUUUCCAACCCAAGGUCGGCCUGUGCAGUUCCCAAGGAAAGUGUUUGCUGAGCACAGAAAAGAAGCUCAACUCCAACAACUCCAGAGAAACACAAAGCCGGGGCCUUGUCAUGGACUACGCUUGUCAUCCCCUAACUGUUCCUCAUGCCCUGCCAUGGUGAAACCCCAGAGUUUAGAGUCCUUAAAGCCCACGCCAGUGCCCAGUGCUGUGGGGACCACACCAAAGAGGAUGCCUGUGUGUCAGGGUGACUUCUCCUCCCCAGCCCGAGACUGCACCCAUCCUGAAGGUUCUUGGUGGAAUAAGACUCCCUCUCAACAGUGUGACAGGAACCUGAGCUGGAGCUGUGGAGGGGGUUACUCGAACCUCAAGGCAGCUAUAGUGGGUACCACCCACAGGCCUCAGCCACCUCACACCUAAACAGGGAAGGGCCCCAGCCACACUCUCUCACUUCCUUUUUCCUUGAGCAGGAGGAGAGCAGCCACAUAUAUUUCCCUCAGAGACUUGCCAACACCUUUGUCCAUUCCUCCAGCUCCCAGGUUCCCAGGGAGCACGGUACGCAUGUGUAUGAUGUAUCCCUGGAUGUGGAGAUGAGAGGUUGAUGUUGGCUACCUUCCUCCAUCACUCUCCACAUUUAUCUUUUGAGAUGGGCUCAAUAAAUGAUUCUGAAGCUCACCAGAGCAGCUAGAUUGCCUAGCCAGGAAGCCCUAAGAACCCUCCUGUUUCCACCUCCCCAGUGCUGGGAUUGCAGGCACACACAAAAUGUUCAGCUUUUCCAUGGGUGCUAGGGAGCUAACGUUUAUGUGGCAGCACUGCACCAAUGCGGCUAUGUCCCCAGCCCCCUUUGUGGCUUUCUGAUGACUUUGAUUCAUGGUCUGUGCCAUGCUUUCUUCUCAGUCCAGUACUUCCCUUCUGGCUUUGCUCCUGCAUCCUGCUCUGUCUCCCCUUCAUUGCAUCUACCCAGACUCUAUACACACACACACACGGGGUGGGGGGCAGAGGCAGAGACAGAGACAGAGACAGAGAGACAGAGAGUGACAGAGAGACAGAGACAGAUAGAGAAAGACAGAGAAAGAUCCUAGCACCACCUCCAUCCUGCCACACCCUCCUGAGUCUACCUCUUUCACAGGAUCAGCUUCCCUCAAACUUCUUCAACUGGGAAUAAAGCUGGCCAUGGCACC